rnacentral:rRNA from 1 species
UACGUAGGUGACCAGCGUUGUCCGGAUUUACUGGGCGUAAAGAGCGCGCAGGCGGUCGUUCAAGUCGAGUGUGAAAGCCCCCGGCUCAACUGGGGAGGGUCAUUCGAUACUGAUCGACUGGAAGGCAGGAGAGGGAAGCGGAAUUCCCGGUGUAGUGGUGAAAUGCGUAGAUAUCGGGAGGAACACCAGUGGCGAAGGCGGCUCACUGGGGCUUUUCUGACGCUGAGGAACGAAAGCCAGGGUAGCGAACGGG